UACAGGGGGUGCAAACGUUGCUCGGAAUCAUUGGGCGUAAAGCGCACGUAGGCGGUUCGUUAUGUCGGAUGUGAAAGCCCUUGGCUUAACCGAGGAAGUGCAUCCGAAACUGGCGAGCUAGAGUACUAAAGAGGAUCGCGGAAUUCCUGGUGUAGCGGUGAAAUGCGCAGAUAUCAGGAGGAACACCAAUGGCGAAGGCAGCUCGCUGGGACGGUACUGACACUGAGACGCGAAAGCGUGGGGAGCAAACAGG
rnacentral:rRNA from 1 species